AUACGGAGGAUCCGAGCGUUAUCCGGAUUUAUUGGGUUUAAAGGGAGCGUAGGUGGACAGUUAAGUCAGUUGUGAAAGUUUGCGGCUCAACCGUAAAAUUGCAGUUGAUACUGGCUGGCUUGAGUACAGAAGAGGUGGGCGGAAUUAGAGGUGGAGCGGUGAAAUGCUUAGAUAUCACGAAGAACUCCGAUUGCGAAGGCAGCUCACUGGACUGCAACUGACACUGAUGCUCGAAAGUGUGGGUAUCAAACAGGAUUAGAUACCCUGGUAGUCCACACAGUAAACGAUGAAUACUCGCUGUUUGCGAUAUACAGUAAGCGGCCAAGCGAAAGCAUUAAGUAUUCCACCUGGGGAGUACGCCGGCAACGGUGAAACUCAAAGGAAUUGACGGGG
rnacentral:rRNA from 1 species